ensembl:lncRNA
AAAUAGUCUCUUGUGUUCACUCAGUAAGAAACACAGUCAAAAAGAAAAAUUUUGAAUCAACAGAACUUGGAACUCAGCUGGGCUUGGAAGACUUGUGAACUUCCUGUUUUGAACAACUGGAUAAACAAGGGUACCAUUUAAUGCUACAUUUUUCCCCUAAGGUAAAAGCCUCCCCAGAACAUAGCUCUAGACCACUUAGCAUUUUAUUGAGAUGGAAAACAGCUCUACAAUAUCAACAUUUUGAAGUGGACCUUAGACACAGACUGCAUUGGCGAACUCUGACAAAUCUCUGAACUUGGUGAUUUGUAAGUCACUGUUGGUCUUUUCAAAUCCAGCUGCCCCUAAGUCAUUGUUCCGCCUCCUCUGAGGGAGGGUCAAGAGAAUAAGUUCAACCAUGAAGCAGAGACCUUGUAGCCCUGGAAACAUCAAGUGAGUGGAGGCCUCCAAGAUCUCACAGCUAAGACACCGGGUUAGCUGGCUUCAGCGCCCUGGCAGAACUUGCUGGCAGCCUGAGUCAGCGUCAACCAUCGGACACAGGGCAGGUGAAAGCAAUUCGCCAUGAGUCCGAAGCCCAGACCAACCAGAUUCUCCUGGGGGCCGGUCUAGGGCAUCUCUAGCCUCGCUCUGAACUCCCACAUAAGUUCGUGGUUACCCUCAGCUUUAAAUGAAUGAAAAUCAAGUCUUCCAUGAUUAAAAACAAAUGCUGUGUUUGGUGCCACAGUUGCAGAGAGUUGAAGGCCUGCUAUGUGUAUCAUAUACCGGAAUGAACUGGAGGAGACAGAAUAAGAGAUGGAAUUUAAGGACUGGAGGCAGUGGCUGCAAGAUUGAGUUCGUGGUGCAGAAGAGCCAGAGGCUAGAAGCACCAUCAUUUGCAGUCAAGCUGAAGUCCUGGCACUGGGGCUUGAUGGUGGCAACGGUAAAGCAACAGUGACAUCUCCCCCAAAUCAGGCUAAUUCACAGCACGGUUUUGGCAUUUUUCCUGGAAGCUACGCCUUGCAUUCAUUUCUUCAGCCUUCCCGAUGAUUCUGGAGCUACUGAAUAUCUUUCAAUAAGCCCUUUUCCUGCUUAACCUCACCUCACUGGAGAAUGGAUUCCAUCGUUUGCUAGUCAGAAUCCUGA